GAGAAAGAAAAGUGAAAAAUAGGAAAGGAGCGUUAAGUAAGAUGAGUGAAUAUUAGGGUGCGAGAGGUUCCAGUUCGUCCGCCGCACUUUUCGGUUUUGGACGAUUUGGAAGCUGUCAGGCUUGACUUCACUUGGUAAAUGCUAUAGUCAAACACCAAUCAACAAGCUUCAGACAUGAUUGCCUUGGGAUGAAUAAAGUGACGCGAAAACAGUUUCAGCUUGGAUUUUUCUGUACCAAGUAACAGCUUGCCACAGAAAACGGGAUAGAAUAAUGCGUCUGAAGUCAUUGUUGACCAAUAUGAAACUACAGGGGCACAAAGACGUGUACUACAUUCCACCCUGUUUGCCAGAAGCAAUACUUGCAGUGCAGUUUCUUCCACCACAAGAACCGGAGAUGUGAACUUGUCUUAUCAAUCUGGCAGAAUUAGCCUUUACAGUUGACCAUCAACACAGAUUCCCAAGAGGCACGCAGAAGUUGCUUUGAUUUUUGUAUCUGUCCCAUUGUUUGCAAGCAUAUAUUACAACACUGAGAUAGUGGUAUGUAUUCUUAUAUUCGUUUCAAAAACAUUUGAACUCAGCAUUGUACAAUGAAGUGAUUACUAAAUCAACUAAAUUGUUUCAAAAUCUAUAAGGAAGGAGAUUGUGAAUUGUUAUUUUGUCCAUGAUGCCUAUCACCGGAAUAUACCAAUUUUGAAAAAGUAAACCAGUU